GAUGAACGCUGGCGGCGUGCUUAACACAUGCAAGUCGAGCGAGUGAGUUCUUCGGAACGAUCUAGCGGCGGACGGGUGAGUAACACGUGGGCAACAUGCCUCAUAGAGGGGAAUAGCCUCCCGAAAGGGAGAUUAAUACCGCAUAAAAUUAUCGAGUCGCAUCACACGAAAAUCAAAAGAGUAAUACGCUAUGAGAUGGGCCCGCGGCGGAUUAGCUAGUUGGUGAGGUAACGGCGCACCAAGGCGACGAUGCGUAGCCGACCGGAGAGGGUGAUCGGCCACAUUGGGACUGGGACACGGCCCAGAGUCCUACGGGAGGCAGCAGUGGGGAAUAUUGCACAAUGGGGGAAACCCUGAUGCAGCAACGCCGCGUGAGUGAUGAAGUUCUUCGGAUUGUAAAGCUCUGUCUUUGGGGAAGAUAAUGACGGUACCCAAGGAGGAAGCCACGGCUAACUACGUGCCAGCCGCCGCGGUAA
rnacentral:rRNA from 1 species